AUGGGGUUUGUGCCGGUCCCCUUGCACCUGGUACAUUUAAAAUGUGAUUUAGUCAGUGGAGUUUUCAAAGUCGGGGUACGUCAUAACCUGCCGGUAAAAGGCGUUCAGUUUAUCAUGGGCAAUGAUAUUGCUGGAGGCAGAGUGCUGCCUAUGUUAGAGGUAUUGGACUGUCCCGAAGCUAACACUGAGGAUGAGUUAGCCGAGAGAUUCCCUGGGAUUUUUCCAGUGGGUGCUGUCACACGGGCGCAGUCCCGAACAUUGAGUGAUGUGGUUGACCUAUCUGAAUCCUUUCUUGUCCCAGUAGGGGACGUAAAUGAGGUUACUGGUUCUACCCCUGUGCCCCCUCCGCAGCCUGAUAAGAACAGUGCCGUUGAGUGUGCUGGCCUUAGUCUCGACCCAUUGCCUCUACCGGUAACUUGUAAUAAGCUUAUUGCUAUGCAAAAGAUAGGUUCUGCACUGGAGCGGUAUAAUGAGAAGGCUGUCCCACGCUCACUGCAGACAGAGGACCCAGUUCUAGUUCUGCUGCCCAUUCCUGGAUCCUCUCUCUCUGCCCGUUUCUCCGCUCCUUAUUGUGUGGGACGGAAGUUCAGUGACACAGAUUAUGUUAUACAGACCCCAGAUCGGAGGCGCAAGUCAAGAAUUUGCCUCGUCAACAUGCUUAAGUUGUAUCAUGUAAAUACCUUGACAACAGUGUUCCAGCGUUUGGCGAGGGCUUCCUUGGCGCUGCAUUUGGCAAAAUGUGAGUUCGGUAGGGCUACCGUUACUUACCUUGGUAAACGGGUUGGAGGUUGUGAAGUGCGCCCUGUGGAGGCUAAGGUGACUGCUAUCACUGCCUUCCCAGUGCCCACCACCCGGCGUGAGCUGCGCCGCUUCUUGGGUAUGGCUGGUUACUAUCGUGGUGUCUGUAGGAAUCUUACCCCUGUUGUCGCCCCGCUGACUAGUCUGUUGAGCCCCUUUGUCCCGUUUGCGUGGUCUCCAGAUUGCCAACACGCUUUUGCUUCCGUUAAGGCUCUGCUAUGUAGUACCCCUGUUCUGGUGGCUCCUGACUUUGAGAAGCCAUUUAAGAUGGAGGUAGACGCCUGUAAAGUAGGUGCUGGUGCCGUUCAUAUCCAGGAGGAUUCCAUCGGUCUGGACCAUCCGGUCUGCUACUUCUUACGGAAGUUCAAUGAGUGCCAGACACGGUAUUCUACUGUCGACAGGAAGCUCUGGCUUUGCUGUUUGCGCUCCAGUUUUUUUUUUAAGUUUAUUUGGGAUCGAGUUCUAGGCCUAUUGUGA
rnacentral:lncRNA from 1 species